rnacentral:misc_RNA from 1 species
GAUGGAGAACGCAGCGAAAUGCGAUACUUGGUGUGAAUUGCAGAAUCCCGUGAACCAUCGAGUCUUUGAACGCAAGUUGCGCCCGAAGCCACUAGGCCGAGGGCACGCCUGCCUGGGCGUCACACGCCGUUGCCCCCCCAUCUACUCCUUCGGGAUUGCGGGGGGGCGGAUGAUGGCCUCCCGUGCGCCUAGCCGCGCGGUUGGCAUAAAUACCAAGUCCUCGGCGACGCACGCCACGACAAUCGGUGGUUGCGAAACCUCGGUUGCCCGUCGUGUGCGUUCGUCGCGCAUCGAGGGCUCGAAAAAAUGCUCGGCUCCGGCUGGGCUUUCAACGCGACCCCAGGUCAGGCGGGGUUACCCGCUGAAUUUAAGCAUAUCAAUAAGCGGAGGA